GGCCAUGAGGAUAGGCGGGUUUGCUGACCUCGGGGCGUGAUGAACCUUUGGAGCCCCGAGG
rfam:Pyrococcus furiosus DSM 3638, complete genome.